rnacentral:rRNA from 1 species
AGUGAACGCUGGCGGUAGGCCUAACACAUGCAAGUCGAACGGCAGCACAGUAAGAGCUUGCUCUUACGGGUGGCGAGUGGCGGACGGGUGAGGAAUACAUCGGAAUCUACUUUUUCGUGGGGGAUAACGUAUGGAAACUUACGCUAAUACCGCAUACGACCUACGGGUGAAAGCAGGGGAUCUUCGUACCUUGCGCGAUUGAAUGAGCCGAUGUCGGAUUAGCUAGUUGGCGGGGUAAAGGCCCACCAAGGCGACGAUCCGUAGCUGGUCUGAGAGGAUGAUCAGCCACACUGGAACUGAGACACGGUCCAGACUCCUACGGGAGGCAGCAGUGGGGAAUAUUGGACAAAGGGCGCAAACCUGAUCCAGCCAUACCGCGUGGGUGAAGAAGGCCUUCGGGUUGUAAAGCCCUUUUGUUGGGAAAGAAAAGCAGCAGGUUAAUACCCCGCUGUUCUGACGGUACCCAAAGAAUAAGCACCGGCUAACUUCGUG